GCCAAUCCCUUGAGCGAAAAGAAAAAAGAAGCAAGGCACAUAGAGCGAAUCCAUGAGAAAAUGCUUGCAGCAGCAACAAAAUCAAGAGUUAUAGCCAUUAUUCACCACGUGCGCACGUUAGCUUUAGCCGCCAGUUCUUUCUCUUUCAGAUCGCCAUGUCCAGGUCGAUUUCUCUUCAUGUGGCGUGGUUUCUGUUGUUGUAUGGGAG
rnacentral:misc_RNA from 1 species